GGGCGUGAGGGCGCGCCGGCCCGGCCUCGCGCAGCAUCAGCAGAUACAGCACUACAGGCGGAAACUCAUCAAGAAGGCGGCGCGGGAGGCGCGGGAGGCGCGAGAGGCGCGGGAGGCGCGCGAGGGGCGCGAGGAGCGCACCGCCUCGCCCGAGCUGCGCCGGCGCUCGCCCGCCGAGGACGACGAGUAUUCCACCACAUCAUCCAAA